UACGUAGGGUGCGAGCGUUAAUCGGAAUUACUGGGCGUAAAGCGUGCGCAGGCGGUUUUGUAAGUCAGAUGUGAAAUCCCCGGGCUCAACCUGGGAACUGCGUUUGAAACUACAAGACUAGAGUGUAGCAGAGGGGGGUGGAAUUCCACGUGUAGCAGUGAAAUGCGUAGAGAUGUGGAGGAACACCGAUGGCGAAGGCAGCCCCCUGGGUUAACACUGACGCUCAGGCACGAAAGCAUGGGGAGCAAACAGGAUUAGAUACCCUGGUAGUCCAUGCCCUAAACGAUGUCAACUAGUUGUCGGACUCUAACGAGUUUGGUAACGUAGCUAACGCGUGAAGUUGACCGCCUGGGGAGUACGGUCGCAAGAUUA
rnacentral:rRNA from 1 species